GGUGAACGCUGGCGGCGGGCUUAACACAUGCAAGUCGAACGGAAAGGCCCUGCUUGCGUGCUGUUCCCGAGUGGGGAACGCGUGAGGGAGAGGUGUGUAACGGGCUCUUGAUUUUCGGGGAGGUUCAGGAAACGGGGGCUAAGAUCGUAUAGGAUCUCCUGUUGGGGUGUGAGCAGGGGAAAUUUUCGGCGGGUGGGGAUGGACUCGCGGAUGACCGGCUUGUUGGUGGGGUAGUGGCAUACCAAGGCUUUGACGGGUAGCCGGCAGGAGUGGGUGACCGGCCACAUUGGGACUGAGAUACGGCCCAGACUGCAACGGGAGGCAACAGUGGCGAGUAUUGCACAAUGGGACGACGCCUGAUGCAGAGACGCCGCGUGCGGGAUGACGGCCUUCGGGUUGUAAACCGCUUUAGCCUGUGACGAAGCGUGAGUGACGGUAAUGGGUAAAGAAGCACCGGCUAACUACGUG
rnacentral:rRNA from 1 species